rnacentral:lncRNA from 1 species
UUAUCGUAGAUUUUUUUUUUUAUUUAGGAGAUAUUCAGAAAUUCUGACUAACUGGGAAUCCUAGUCCACUGAUUUAUGUGGUUAAAUGCCGCCAGCGAAAUGAUAAUCUAAUUGACAUCUACAUUACACGUGGCGGGCGUCUGCUGAUUGCUCAUUAAGGAAUUUGGUCAAUAGACGCACCAACUCCAUGGGUCCAUGACAAACAAUGCUUGUGUUUAGUUUGUUUGUCGUGGAGUCGUCGCGCGUCUCUAUUCACCGAAUCCCCUGUACAUUCAUGUACCAUAAUGCCCAUAGAAAAGCAAACUUUAGGCGUCCAGAUAAAUCGCUAUGCUGAUGAUCUGCAAAAUUUUGUUGUACAUGUAUGUAUUUUGUCUUCUCUUUCAUUUAAGUGAUUAAUAGCCCCAACCGACCAAAUUUAAUUUUGGGAACUUGGAUUCAAGUCUGGGACUUUUCUUUUCCUUUUAAUUAUAUGUAUAA